CAGCAAGCAGGAAACUCCAUGCAAGCCUGGGACUGAGCAUCAGGCUCUGGGUGCCUGGGCUCUGAGAGGUGCUAAUCACUACACAAGAUAUAAGGCAGUGGAGAAUCAGCUCCAUUGUCACAGCAGUCACUAAUUAGCAUCUUUGUUGUGUCA